ACCUUCCAGCUCUGCCAUCCCGAUUUGAACCCAAGGGAUUAUCUUUGGAACUUUGGACACGUUGCUGGGCCUCCAUCCCUCCCAGU
rnacentral:lncRNA from 1 species